rnacentral:rRNA from 1 species
GAUGAACGCUGGCGGCGUGCCUAACACAUGCAAGUCGAGCGAGAAGUUUGAAAAAUGAGUUUUCGGACAAGUGAUUCAAUCGGAAAGCGGCGGACGGGUGAGUAACGCGUAGGCAACCUGCCCCGUGCAGAGGGACAGCCUCGGGAAACCGGGAUUAAGACCUCAUGAUAUCGGGUUAUCACAUGGUAACCCGGUCAGAGAUUUAUCGGCAUGGGAUGGGCCUGCGCCUGAUUAGCUGGUUGGUGGGGUAACGGCCUACCAAGGCGACGAUCAGUAGCAGAACUGAGAGGUUCAUCUGCCGCAUUGGAACUGAGACACGGUCCAAACUCCUACGGGAGGCAGCAGUGAGGAAUAUUGCACAAUGGGCGAAAGCCUGAUGCAGCAACGCCGCGUGAGCGAAGAAGGCCUUUGGGUCGUAAAGCUCUGUCCUUGGGGAAGAAACAAAUGACGGUACCCUUGGAGGAAGCCCCGGCUAACUACGUGCCAGCCGCCGCAGUAA